rnacentral:rRNA from 1 species
CCUACGGGAGGCAGCAGUGAGGAAUAUUGGUCAAUGGCCGGAAGGCUGAACCAGCCAUGCCGCGUGAAGGUCAGUGCCCUAUGGGCGUUAAACUUCUUUUGUGCGGGAGCAAUAAUGGUCACGUGUGGCCAGACGAGAGUACCGUACGAAUAAGCAUCGGCUAACUCCGUGCCAGCAGCCGCGGUAAUACGGGGGAUGCAAGCGUUAUCCGGAUUUAUUGGGUUUAAAGGGUGCGUAGGCUGUGAGGUAAGUCAGCGGUGAAAUGCCCCCGCUCAACGGGGUGAAGUGCCAUUGAUACUGCCUGGCUGGAAUGCGGAUGCCGUGGGAGGAAUGAGUGGUGUAGCGGUGAAAUGCAUAGAUAUCACACAGAACACCGAUUGCGAAGGCAUCUCACGAAUCCGCGAUUGACGCUGAUGCACGAAAGCGUGGGUAUCAAACAGGAUUAGAUACCCUAGUAGUC